GGGUCUAUGGCUUAGCGGCUGAGCAGCAUCCUUUUAAGAUGCAUUAGGUUGGUUCAACUCCAACUGGACCCACCA
rnacentral:tRNA from 1 species